UUCGGGUUCCGGCUCCGGCUCGCCGCCGCCGCACGGUCCGCGAAACUCGCCCAGGAAUAGCUCCAGGAAGCGCCGAAAAAAUACUUCUGAGCUGAUUUGUCAAACUAACCACAAGAUGAAACCUGGAUACAAUCAUUGGUUUGCAGAAGGAACACAGAGUACUCACCUCCUUCUACAUGGCUAAUAAAUUAUUUCGAAGAGCUUUAGAAAAUGGCAUUCCUUGGCCACCUACUCAUUUCAGGUGAUAUCAGACAAGGCAACAAAAGUGUCACUUCAUGGGUCACUGUAUAUCUCAUCCACAGGACUAGCUCUAAGAAACCUGUAAGUGUUCA